GUCUAUGGCCAUAGCACCCUAAACAUGACUGAUCUCAUCCAGUCUCAGAAGCUAAGCAGGUCUGGCCUGGUUAGUACUUGGAUGGGAGACCACGUGGGAAUACUGGGUUAAAAAAA
rnacentral:rRNA from 1 species